UUACGCUGUUAUCCCUAAGGUAAUUUAGUCUUAUAAUCAAUAUAAAUGGUUCAAAUACAUAUAAAUAAAUAUAAAAUAAAUAAAAAGAGUUAAUUAAAUCUUUCCAUCACCCCAACAAAAUAAAUUUUUACAUUAGAAAUUUUCAUACAAAAAAAAAUAAAAAUAUAUAUAAACUCUAUAGGGUCUUCUCGUCCCAAAAAAACAUUUAGGCAUUUUAACCUAAAAUUUAAGUUCAAAAAAAAAAUAAAGACAGUUAACACCUCGUCAAACCAUUCAUUCCAGCCUACAAUUAAAAGACUAAUGAUUAUGCUACCUUUGCACGGUCAAAAUACCGCGGCCCUUCAAUAUUCAGUGGGCAGGCCAUACAUCAAAAUAUAUUCAAGAAGAGAUGUUUUUGAUAAACAGGCG
rnacentral:rRNA from 1 species